rnacentral:rRNA from 1 species
AUUGAACGCUGGCGGAAUGCUUUACACAUGCAAGUCGAACGGUAGAGGGGGCAACCCCUUGAGAGUGGCGAACGGGUGAGUAAUAUAUCGGAACGUGCCCAGUCGUGGGGAUAACGUAGCGAAAGUUACGCUAAUACCGCAUACGAUCUAAGGAUGAAAGCGGGGGAUCGCAAGACCUCGCGCGAUUGGAGCGGCCGAUAUCAGAUUAGGUAGUUGGUGAGGUAAAGGCUCACCAAGCAACGAUCUGUAGCUGGUCUGAGAGGACGACCAGCCACACUGGAACUGAGACACGGUCCAGACUCCUACGGGAGGCAGCAGUGGGGAAUUUUUGGGACAAUGGGCGCAAGCCUGAUCCAGCAAUGCCGCGUGCAGGAUGAAGGCCUCGGUUGUAACGUAGC